UUAGGCCUACGGGAGGCAGCAGUGGGGAAUAUUGCACAAUGGGCGAAAGCCUGGUGCAGCAACGCCGCGUGAGCGAUGAAGGCCUUCGGGUCGUAAAGCUCUGUCCUCAAGGAAGAUAAUGACGGUACUUGAGGAGGAAGCCCCGGCUAACUACGUGCCAGCAGCCGCGGUAAUACGGAGGGGGCUAGCGUUAUCCGGAAUUACUGGGCGGAAAGGGUGGGUAGGGGGUUUCUUAAGUUAGAGGUGAACGGC
rnacentral:rRNA from 1 species